GGAGCUCCCUGACCUUCAGGAGUUGUGAUUAUAUUCCCAAGAUAUAGCUGAAAAAUUGGCACUUAGUAGAUAUUUAAUAAGUAUUUGUUAAAUAAAUGAAUAGAUGAAUACAAGUCUUCGAAAACAGAAUAGUCUGCACCUAGGCUAGUUUACGAAAAGACUGAGAUGCUUGAGGACAUUCUAUGUCCUUUUAAACUUCAUACUUUCAGUGUCUAUCAUGUUGCUUACCACAUAGCGGUCUCCAAAUAAGUGUUUAUAAAACUCAACUGAAUGAAUUCCUGCCUGAGAAAGUAUGUUGCCAUAGCUAAUAUUGCUCCAGCAUUAUGGUACUUGAAGAUUCUUGCAUUAUUUAAAUGUGGUUUUUUCUAUUAGUAUUUUAUUUGUCUUCACAUCACUGAGAGGGAGUAUCCAUAGAGCUAGAGAAAGCCAUCACUGAGAAACAACCAAUCGUUAAUAAUUCACUAAGAAAUAUUAAACAAGGGAAAUAAGUUUAUUUCCCUGGAGGGAAUCAAAUGUCAUAAAUAUACACAGGAUUUUCUAUUUCGAGCUUCUCCAGUAUUGCAGAACUACAGGUCAACAGAAUAAGCUCAAGUCAUGAGAGAAAGAACAAUUUGCUGUUCUCUAUUCCUGAUGGGAUUAAAAUAUCACUAUUUGGCAGUAGUCUACAUAAAUAAAUUACUUACAGCUGCAUUAGAGAUUUUUUUCAGUUCUAUAAUUAGAACAAGUAAAAAAAAAUUUGAAUAAACUUUUAAUAUAAUAAUACAGUAAUUAUAUUCCUUUAUUUCUUUUUCUAAUGAGGACAGCACAUUUUUAUUUUAUUUAUUUAAUUUUUUGAGAUGGAGUUUCCCUCUGUUGCCCAGGCUGGAGUGCAGUGGUGCGAUCUCGGCUCACUGCAACCUCUGCCUCCUGGGUUCAAGCGAUUCUCCUGCCUAAGCCUACCAAGUAAUGGGAUUACAGGUGCCUGCCACCACACCCAGCUAAUUUUUGUAGUUUUUUAGUAGAGACGGGGUUUCACCAUGUUGGCCAGGCCGGUCUGGAACUCCUGACCUCAGGCGAUCUGCCCGCCUAUGCCUCCCAAAGUGCUGGGGUUACAGGCGUGAGCCACCACGCCUAGCCAGCACAUUUAUUCACUGAACAAAUAUUGACUGAGUGCUUCCUAUGUGCUGGAUACUGUUUUAUUUCUGAGAUUAUAGCAGGUAACCAAACAAAAAUCUCUGUUCAUUACAGAGCUUAUUAAUCCAUGCAGUUUUCGUUUACUCACUGUGUUCUAUGUUAUUUUUCAUUUCAAAGAUUCAUGUAAUUUGCAGUUUGUUUGAACAUAUGAUUGUCAGUAUUUUUCCUUCAAGCCUUGUUUUUGAUUAGAAUGGCUCACAUUUUCCUUUUCUAUAGCUAAUGUAGUUACUUAAGAUACACUGUUAUAACUAGGA
rnacentral:lncRNA from 1 species